rnacentral:rRNA from 1 species
GAGUUUGAUCUUGGCUCAGGAUGAACGCUGGCGGCGUGCUUAACACAUGCAAGUCGAACGAAGCACUACCGACGGAACUUUUCGGAGGGAAGAUGGUAAUGACUGAGUGGCGGACGGGUGAGUAACGCGUGGGCAACCUGCCCCAUAGAGGGGGACAACAGCUGGAAACGGCUGCUAAUACCGCAUAACAAGGAGAGAGCGCA